rnacentral:lncRNA from 1 species
AGGGUGUCCUGUGGCAUUUAAUUGAGAAAGAACUUUACGUGGCGGUAAAUCCGUCUGGAAGGGAAAAAAGCACAAAGAGGCUGUAUAAGGACAGCGAGGGAUAGACUGGCUUAAAUUCGCGUGAAGAUUUAGUAUCGCGCGGCUGUACUAGUGAUCCCAGGGCCAAAAGUCAAAUAAGGAAGGAAGGAAACGCGCCCGUGAGAGAAUAAAGGGCGCUUUGGCCUCCCGAGGUCUCUCACGACUCAGAGGCUUAUAAACAAAGUCGCUGCCACAGUGUGAAUUGACGUUUUGCCAAAUUCUUGUCUUCAGAUAAGGGAAUUCUGAAAACGACCUUGAAAGUAGAGAAGAGGAGUGUGCAGAUAGCUUUAGCAGCCUCGCAAAGGGUUCUUGUGUUCAUCUAUUUGAAGUCACUUCCUGGAUCUCCUGUCCACAGGUAGCCACAUCUGAGCCUGAUAGAGAGAACUUUGCGUUGACGUCCUGGCCUGUGAGCUGCGUUUAGUCUCUGGAUGGGACUUUGAAGUCAUACUCCUCAGGGACAAAGGCGAGAGAGGGAACCAGGAGUCGGAACUCUUCCUCUUCGAGACCACGGGGCGUGGUCAGAGGGACUUCCUAGCUUGGCUGCAUAUCCUGACAAGAAGCCUGCAAAGGUCGUGUUCUAUAAGAAGCACUGUUCAUCUAACCCAUGCACUCUGGAUAUGAAAAACUCUGAUUUUUCCACUACUUGCUGCCAAAAAAAUAGGUGGAAGCUUCUUUACCUGCAGGCUUCCUCUGGCUAAUUGUUCCAUGAGUGGCAGCAAUGCUGUGGUCUGACAUGAGAGAGCACAGGCGUCCAGCAGUGAGGAUGGAGGCAGAAAUGAGGUUUAAUUUUACUUUUUAAUCUUUUUAGGGCCACACCUGUCACAUAUGGUUCCCAGGCUAGGGUUCACAUCGGAGCUGUAGCCGCUGGCCUACACCACAGCCACAGCUCAGGCACACAGGACCCGAGCCUCAUCUUUGACCUUCACCACAGCUCACGGCGACACCAGAUCCUUAACCCACUGAGCGAGGCCAGGAAUCGAACCUGCAUCCUCAUGGAUGCAUCACAUUCGUUUCUGCUGAGCCACAACAGGAACUCCCAGAAAUAAGGUUUAAUGCUGAGGAGGUUGUCGGUGACUCAUCUAAGCAGCCUGCACAAGUUCAAGGGAAGGCUUGUGUCCCUGGGGGUCAGUGCUCUAAUGAUUUGCAAAUACAAAAUUCUCAGUCUCUGUAUCUGCAAGUCCUAAACAUUCAAAUUUGAAACAUAGGGUUGUCCACUGUAUUUAAAGUUUUUGAGUAUAUUCUCCCCCAAGUGGCUACCACCAGCCAUUUCUUGCCAAGGAACAGCUCCUCUCUGCACUUAGAGAUAAUGCCUGAGAGCCUCAGGCCACUGCCCCUGCCGCCGCUGUGGAGCGCAGAGAGAACAGAAUUCCCUUCUCCUUUUGUUAGGGGAGGGAGGGGGACCUUCCAGAUCCAGGUCAAGUCUCUAACUGGUCUAAACCUAGACCCCCGCUCCUGCAAACCUACAAAUGUUCUCUACAGAUGCCACUUCUCAGAACAAGUCAUUAUGUGUUAAAACUGCAAAACAUCAAAUUUACCAUUUUAGCCUUUUUAAAGUACACAAUUCGGUGGCAUUUAGUACAUUCACAACUUGUGCCACUGUCAUCAUUACUCAUUUCCAGAAGUUUUUUUAUCAUCCAAACAGAACAUUUGUGCACAUUACACAAAAACUUCCCAUCACCUCCUCCCUCAGGGGAAUACUUUUAAACACUUUUGGUGCCAACACAAUCUGUAGCUGUUUUUACACCUCUUUUACAGGCUUUUGUUAUUUUAUUUAUUUAAAAACACUUAUUAGGCAACCAUACGGGGUGAACUCAGGUAAAUUCCUGGAGGAACUUGCAGUGAAGGAACUUGCAAUGAGCUAAGACAGAGACACAGAUAGAUGAUAACACACAGUGUGAUAAAUGCUACAAUAGAGAAAGGAAAGAAGAGAACUGGCUAGAGAUCUAGUGUUUAUGGAACACAAACUGUCAGAUUGCAACAAGUGCUUCUGCAUUUCAUUUCCCUUCAUAAUAGCCCUGUAAAGUAAUUACUGUUAACCCACUUUGUGGAUAAGGAAGCUCAAAUCUAGAAUGGUCUAGCAAGUUGCCUACACAUUCAGUAGCGGGUGCAAGCCCUAAGCAGACAAGUGCCAAACCAGGCUGGGUGAUUAGCCAGCUUCAUGCAUGUAGGUUUGUGCUCACAGUUCCCUGGACCUUAGUUUUCUUGUGUAAAAUGGCAGAACUACACUAGUAGACCUCUUAGGGCCUUUACAUCAGGAAGCUGAAGAAGACUGAGUGGACAUGGAUCAUUCGAGUUGCAGAUCUGAAGAAACCGAAGAGAAUUCCGCACCUUUGGACUCAGCCUGAGAGGGCCACUGAACUGAGACCCCUUUAGCUGGAUGGGUGGGGCUUUGGGACCACAGAAGUGAGACUUCUAAAUCAGUUUGGGACUCAAGAACUGCUUAACAUGGAGUUCCCACUGUGGCUCAACGGUAAUGAACCCAACUAGUACCCAUGAGGACAGGGUUUCAUCCCUGGCCUCACUCAGUGGGUUAAGGAUCCGUCAUUGCCACAAGCUGUGGUGUAGGUCACAGACAUGGCUCCUAUCCUGCAUUGCUGUGCAUUGGCCAGCAGCUGCAGCUCUGAUUCAAUCCCUGGCCUGGGAAUCUCUACAUGCCAUGGGUGUAGCAGCUAAAAAAA